GUUAUAAGAUAUAACAGCCUUUUCUAAUUGGCUGAAUUCAAAUACAGAAAGUUUACCUGUUAGAUUGAAACAUGAAACAUGGUGGACAAUGUACUGGUUUAACUUGUUAAAAUAAAGUUAAAGACAUUUAACAAACAGAAGAGUUCAUUAGUUUUUCCAUUAAAAACACUUUCUUAAAAUACUUAUAUAUUUAUAUCAUUUGGAAAGUGACAUGAAAUAUUGCUAAAGAGUGAUGCAUACAGUGUUUGAGCAGUCUGUCUAGGAAUAGAACAACAACUGAAGUUGAUGGAAGAUACUGCAGAGUUUGGCAGGGAAAUAAUCCAACAGCAAAGCGGCUCUUUAAGCGCAUUUACCUAGAGGACUUACAGGGCCACAAAUUCAUGAGCACAUGUGAGCAGUAUACAAUGUACCUCAUACCAAAAAGGACCCGGAGGCAGUGACUGGUGUUCAAUAUUCUCAGAAGAAAAGGAAAAUGGUAGUGGAAGACUUGGACAAACAUUUUUA